rnacentral:rRNA from 1 species
AUCCUGGCUCAGGAUGAACGCUGGCGGCGUGCCUAAUACAUGCAAGUCGAGCGAACAGACAAGGAGCUUGCUCCUUUGACGUUAGCGGCGGACGGGUGAGUAACACGUGGGUAACCUACCUAUAAGACUGGGAUAACUUCGGGAAACCGGAGCUAAUACCGGAUAAUAUUUCGAACCGCAUGGUUCGAUAGUGAAAGAUGGUUUUGCUAUCACUUAUAGAUGGACCCGCGCCGUAUUAGCUAGUUGGUAAGGUAACGGCUUACCAAGGCGACGAUACGUAGCCGACCUGAGAGGGUGAUCGGCCACACUGGAACUGAGACACGGUCCAGACUCCUACGGGAGGCAGCAGUAGGGAAUCUUCCGCAAUGGGCGAAAGCCUGACGGAGCAACGCCGCGUGAGUGAUGAAGGUCUUCGGAUCGUAAAACUCUGUUAUUAGGGAAGAACAUAACAGUGUAAGUAACUAUGCAC